ensembl:lncRNA
CUCUUACUGUCAUCUGUGUCACCUCUAAACAUCUCUCAGGGGCCUGUGCUCUGACUGCAACUCCUUUGUACCACAGGUUCCCUGAUAGUAGUCCCCACCCACUGGUCUCCUGCCCCUCCAUCUGCUGAGAUCCAUACCAUCUUCUACCUCCAAACACUCCAGCCUUCUCGCAAGGCUUCCUAGCUGUCCCAGCAAAAUACUGAGGUGGACAUCUUUGUGCCCUGUGCUCAGAGCACAGGCAUCGAGGGAUUGGCGAAUUCCCAAGCUCAGGACAAGUCAAGAAGAGUAAGAUAUGAGGUACCAAGGAAGGUCCCAGCAAGCUCUUUUUGGUGUUGGUGUUGGAAGUCUCACGUUUGCUGAGCAAGUGCUGUACCACCAAGCCGCAUCUCCAAGCCCACACAGGAAGCCUCGUUAAAAAAUGAAAUGAAAUACCAGAGCACAUCCAACACUGAGAAAGAGAAAAACAAACGUUGGCCACCACAGCUGGAAAGUUCUGGACGGGGUAAAGACAGACAUCACCAGGGCAGGAUGUAAAACCACAGUCUGAACUCUGGAUGGGGAAGGCGAUCCACAGAGAGCACUCAGCAUGCAUAAAAUCUCCUCUUGGCACUUAAAUGUUUACGGGGCUAGCUCCAUUCCAAACCCCGGCCCAAGACUUACGUCACAGGUGUAGCCCUGUGACGGGUUAUCUGGUCACAGCGACUCAGGAGGCAAAGGAAACAUCCACAACCACGCUUCUGGCUUGCUCAUCUUCCUGGAGGAGGACCCAAAGCCAGUGUACACUGGCUUCCUAAAAGCCACUUGUAAGACCUCUGCAAGCACAUGCAGCAUCCACGAGACCUGCACACGGUGCAGGAAAACCACACUCCGUACCUGUGCCAGCUAGUUUCAUGGCAACUUGACACAAGCUAAAGUCAACCGAAAGGAAGAAACCUCAAGAAAGAAAAUGUCUCCCUAAGAUUGGGCUGUAGGCAAGCCGGUGGGGAAUUUUCUUAGUUAGUGAUUGAUGUGAGAGGUCCCAGUCCAUUGUGGGGGGUGCUCCUGUGUUACAUAAGAAGUCUGGCUGAGCAAGCCAGUAAGCUGUACUCCUUUAUGCAUCAGCUCCUGCCUCCAAGUUCCUGCCCUGCGUGAGCUCCUCCCUCCCUUGACUACUUGGGUGAUGAGCUGUUUCUGUGGAACAAAGAAUGAAACAAAGCCUUUCCUUCCCCAGCUGCUUUUGUUGAUGGUGUUUCAUCUAAGUCAUAGGAACCCCAACUAAGACAAUGCAUGCCUAUGCCUUAAAAAAGAGAGAAAGCUUUAAGAAUUGAGGAUUGACAAUCCUCUGGAUCCUUAGGAUCCCAUUUCAAGGUGGAUAUAACAAGCCUAAAUAAGUUAGUUUAACUUACAGGGAGAGGGCCAAAGGAGUGGAGUGCCUCCGACAGAGGUAUUCAUUGGAAAAAGCGGGAGUGGGAGGACUCUUGCCUUGGAGUCUAGCUAUACAAAGUGGGUUCAGAGGCUGUGACUCACUGAGGAAAAGGAGUGCCCUGUGUCCUAGGGCAGGCUGCUUUCUCCAAACAAGAGUUCUUUGGCUAAGGAAGGAAAUGAGGUAAUAUCAGAUUAAUCAGCUGUCACCAGCCGGACAGAUCUAGAAGUUCAACCAUGCCCAGCUCCUUCUGCUCAUACUUACCCUUUACCUCCAUGGUACGAGGACACUACCAUGCCAGGUUCUAAUGAGAGAGAGCCUGGAGCCCCUCCUUGGUAAGCAGCUCCUUCUCUCUGGACCUUUAAUUUUCUCUUCUAUUAAAUCAGGGGGUAACUGAUCACCAGUAAUGCAACUUGGUCCGUGGUCACAUUUCUUUCUUUCUUUAAUAUAAAAAUUGUUGGGAGCUGGAGAGAUGGCUCAGCAGUUAAGAGCACUGACUGUUCUUUCAGAGGUCCUGAGUUCAAAUCCCAGUGACCACAUGGUGGCUCACAACCAUCUGUAAUGAGAUCUGAUGCCCUCUUCUGGUGUGUCUGAAGACAACUACAGUG